CAAAGAGGGUUUUCCAUGAGAGUAAAGGUUACUUUGAUGGCGGUGCAGUGUUACAAUAUUACUAUAACAUUUAUAACUGCUUUGCACUAUAGUCUUCUCUUAUUUAUUUUAAGGCCCUUAAUAUUCAGGUCACAUGGAGGACUGAAGCAUAAAAAGGUAGUGAAAUACAAGGAAAAAAGGAAAAACUCACUGGAGUGGAACAGAGUGAGAUGGGCACUGAGUGUGUGUCUGCUGGAAAGGAAUUUAUGGAUAUGAUAUUUUAGCCAUGAAGGACUUGCACAAUAAGACAAUGGCUGCUUCUACGGUAAUCUUCAUUACUGGUGGCUUUCCUUAAACAGAAAGCUCUUUAAUUUUCAUUUUGACUUUCAUUCCAAAAGCUGAAGAAAAAACACAUUCCGAGCUCAUUUAUAAGUGUCUAAUUGCCCAACAACAAACAAUGACCAACAAGAUCUGUCAACCAAAUGUCCCAAUAUUUUUGCCUUUUUAAAUAAAGAGACUCAGAAAUAUCAGUUCUGAUAUAUAGUUCAAUAUAAUAUUCUUAAAUUGACCCAAACAUUUAGAUCAGAAAUUACCCUUAAAAAUGAAAUACUGUAUCUACAGUAGGAGCUGUACUUAUAAGUCAAGUUUUAUUUCAAGCAGAAUGAUCAUUAAAGUUCAAUGUGAAAAUCCCAGUUUAGACUUUCAGAGUUCCAAGACUUUUGGAGGGCACUGCAUAACUGUAAUUACUUUAAUAUGCAAUUGCAAUGCAACAAUGAUCCUGUGUUUGCUUUUCGCUGUAAUUGUUACACAUGAAAUGCUAAUAUCAAUAACUUUUCGUUUCAAAAGAAGACUUCAAAAUAUUUUGUCAACCAUGAUAAAGAUUUGUUAUUAUUUGGCAAAUAGGUAAAUAUGUAUUGUUUCAAAUGCCAUGAACUGAAGUAAUAAAUAGAAUAAUAUGUGUUACAAUCAUUUGCUUGAGAAAUAAAAUAAGCUU